rnacentral:ncRNA from 2 species
UAGCCUUCUCGCGUUCGAGGUUCUUCCCGGCAGUGCCGCCGGGAAGCUAAGAGGGAACAGGGUCGAUGCCCUGGCUGCCCCCGCAACUGUAAACGGUUAUGCCCUUCGUUAGACCACUGCCAACCGGCGGGAAGGUGAAGGGAUGCGCGCCGCGCAAGCCGUGAGCCAGGAGACCUGCCUCGUUUCGUCAGCCAAC